rnacentral:rRNA from 1 species
ACGAACGCUGGCGGCGUGGAUUAGGCAUGCAAGUCGAGCGACGGCAUCCUUCGGGAUGUACGGAGCGGCGAACGGGUGAGUAACACGUGAACAACCUGUCCCUUUGUUCCGGAUAAUUGGGAGAAAUCCCUUGUAAUACGGGCGAGGACGGUCCUUUGGCAUCUUAGGAUCGGGAAACAUGAAAGUGGCAACACUUUUGUGGCAUGGGGAGGGUUCGGCGGACCUAUCAGGUAGUUGGUGUGGUAACGGCGACACCAAGCCAACGACCGGGUAGCUGGUCUGAGAGGAUGGUCAGCCACAUUGGAACUGAGACACUGUCCAGACUCCUACGGGAGGCUGCAGUCGAGAAUCUUGGGCAAGUGCACGAAAGUGUGACCCAGCGACGCCGCGUGAAGGAU